CCCAUCUGUGAUAAAUGUCUUUCGCAAGAUGCCAAUAUUUACGCACUCAUUUGUUCCUUGUACAAAACUUCAUCAAUUUUGGUGUAAUAUAUUUGAUAUAUUCGCA